rnacentral:lncRNA from 1 species
AUUAUGUGAAUUCAGAUUUGUUGGAGUGAAGUCUAUUAUUCCUAGUGUUAGAUAGAAAUUAUGUAUUUUGAGUGGUCUUUUGAGAGUGCAAGGUUGUACACUGUUGUUAUUAGUUGAUGAAGGAGUAUUAUUACUAGGAGAAAGCAUUGUAGUAUUUCUUGGUAUUUUAGUGGUUCGAAAUAUGGUUAAUUGUGUGAUCCUAACAAGUAAAACUCAUAUACUUAGUGUUUUCCUGUGUUUGAAUUUCCCUAUACAUGUUUAUUUUGAAAGGAAUUGUAGAAUAAGUAAAAUGACAAUUACA